AUUGAACGCUGGCGGCAGGCCUAACACAUGCAAGUCGAACGAGUGGCGGACGGGUGAGUAAUGUCUGGGAAACUGCCCGAUGGAGGGGGAUAACUAGUGGAAACGGUAGCUAAUACCGCCUACCAUCUGUUGUUCCCAGAUGGGAUUAGCUUGGAGGUGGGGUAACGGCUCACCUAGGCGACGAUCCCUAGCUGGUCUUAGAGGAUGACCAGCCACACUGGAACUGAGACACGGUCCAGACUCCUACGGGAGGCAGCAGUGGGGAAUCUGUCACAAGGGGCGAAAGCCUGAUGCAGCCAUGCCGCGUGUAUGAAGAAGGCCUUCGGUUUGUAAAGUACUUUAAGCGAGGAGGCGUUACUCGAAGAAGAAGCACCGGCUAACUCCGUGCCAGCAGCCGCGGUAAUUC
rnacentral:rRNA from 1 species